AACGAACGCUGGCGGCAUGCCUAACACAUGCAAGUCGAACGAGACCUUCGGGUCUAGUGGCGCACGGGUGCGUAACGCGUGGGAACCUGCCCUUAGGUUCGGAAUAACUCCCCGAAAGGGGUGCUAAUACCGGAUAAUGUCUUCGGACCAAAGAUUUAUCGCCUUUGGAUGGGCCCGCGUUGGAUUAGCUAGUUGGUAGGGUAAAAGCCUACCAAGGCGACGAUCCAUAGCUGGUCUGAGAGGAUGAUCAGCCACACUGGGACUGAGACACGGCCCAGACGGCUACGGGAAGAAGCAGUGGGGAAUAUGGGACAAUGGGGGAAAGGCUGAUCCAGCAAGGCCGGGUGAGUGAUGAAGGCCUUAGGGUUGUAAAGCUCUUUUACCCGGGAUGAUAAUGACAGUACCGGGAGAAUAAGCGCCGGCUAACUCCGUG
rnacentral:rRNA from 1 species